ACGCACCGCCGAGUAGACGCGCAAUGAACUUGAAGCGCAGAUGGCGUGACCGCGCUACUCUGAAACGCAGAUGGCGUGACUGCAGUUUUCCUUCACUGGGCGCGGCUUCGCCCCUCCUUUAAAGUCUAAACUUAACGUCAAUGCUUUAUUUUAAGAGUUCUUAAAAGCUCAUUAAUAUGCGAAAGAGAAGCUUUGGUUUUCAGCCGCGCUCCUAAACCGUCAAAUAAACAUUAAAGUAUGUCGAAACGCCAGUUUCCCAAAAGAAAAACUCCACGACGGUGUUUUCACGGGUUUAAUUGCGACCUUCUGAGGGAAGAACACGUCAAGGGCGGGACGCGUCCGAGGAUCAGUGUUUAUUCAUCUGACUGUGCAUCCAAAAGAGGUUCAAAAUCACUCUCACGGACUUUUUCCUGGACUGCGCCCAGCUGGUGGAAUGACCUCCCAAUCUCAAUUCGAACAGCUGAGUCUUUACUCAUUUUCAAAAAACAUCUAAAGACUCAUCUUUUUCGCCUGCACUUAACCAACUAAUACUAGAACUUACCUUUGCUUUUCUUGUCUAGCAUAUUCUUAAAAAAAAAA
ensembl:lncRNA